UGCUCCCACUCUCGCCAUGUGAUGUGCCUGCUCCCCUUCGUCUUCUGCCGUGAUUGUGAGCUUCCUGAGGCCUCACUAGAGGCAGAUGUUCUGUAUGGCCUGCUGAACUGAGGUCUGUUAUAAGAACUCCCUGCCCAUCCUUUUAACAAGAGGCUUAGAAAGAGACAUGCCAAAACCACCUCCAAAAACCAAGGAACAUGGAUGGAGCUGGAGGCUAUCAUGCUUGUUGACUCACAAGCACAUUACUUUUCUGGGAAGAAACUUUUAAGUGGAGAAACCUUCUAUUCCUCCACAAUGAAAAGAAGCUGUCCAGUAAACGAAAUCCCUCCUGCUUCAUGUCCACUUAGCAUGGCAGAUAAUUCGUACACUCUCCUGUGGAACAGAGAGCCUUACAGCUUACUGUUGUAUCAUCACAGUUAUAUGAUGGCAAUGUAUAAAAAUUAAGAUUGAGGCAUGAUAUUUUAAUGUAUUUUUUAUUUUCAGUCACAUUAAUUUAUCAGGGUUAAUUAGUGCCUGGUAUCACAUAUUUUUUUUUUUUUGGUGAUGGGUUCCUUAUUCAAUUUUUAAAGAUUAGACCAUCUUAAAAUAUUUUUAGUGUUGACUGUGACAAUUUGUUUUUUGACUUUCAAAACAAAUUAUUGUGUGUUUUAAGUAUGUAGACCCUAGUUUUAUUGGAGGUAUAUAUCUACCUCCUUUUGCUUUUUUAUUUGCUAAACUAGCUCAUACUAUGUCUCAUA
rnacentral:sRNA from 1 species